rnacentral:misc_RNA from 1 species
AACGUUGUAAAUAGACAAAGACGAACAGAGACAGAGAAGGCAAAAGAUGCAAGGACCGGAAUUCUACGUCGACGACGACCCUCCGGAGACCCGCUCGUUCGGCAGACAAUGCGACUUUGUCGGAAGGUCCAUUCGUUCGAAUAUCAUCGCGCGUACCAAGCGCCUUCCCCACACCGGAAAUGGUAAUCAGACUCGAAGAAGAUGCUUCUCCUGACGGCAGAAUAGUUUCCACGACAUAGCGAGACCGUAAAAUUGAACAAGCUUCAAGGAUUAUGUUGCUUCAGUUGUUCUCAUAUUACAUUAUUCUUCGUAUUUGUUUUUUUUCUUUUUAUUAUUUUUGAUUAUUUAUUAGAAUUUACGUAUUCUCGUAGAUAUUGUUCUUUCCAUAUGCUUGGAAAUGUUUUUUCCACUCUUGUGGACUUCUUUUACUUCCGAAAUUUUUGUUUCUAUUAUUUUUUACAUCUCUUAUACUUA